GACGAACGCUGGCGGCGUGCUUAACACAUGCAAGUCGAACGGAAAGGCCCUGCUUUUGUGGGGUUCUCGAGUGGCGAACGGGUGAGUAACACGUGAGUAACCUGCCCUUGACUUUGGGAUAACUUCAGGAAACUGGGGUUAAUAUCGGAUAGGAGCUCCUGCUGCAUGGUGGGGGUUGGAAAGUUUCGGCGGUUGGGGAUGGACUCGCGGCUUAUCAGCUUGUUGGUGGGGUAGUGGCUUACCAAGGCUUUGACGGGUAGCCGGCCUGAGAGGGUGACCGGCCACAUUGGGACUGAGAUACGGCCCAGACUCCUACGGGAGGCAGCAGUGGGGAAUAUUGCACAAUGGGCGGAAGCCUGAUGCAGCAACGCCGCGUGCGGGAUGACGGCCUUCGGGUUGUAAACCGCUUUCGCCUGUGACGAAGCGUGAGUGACGGUAAUGAGUAAAGAAGCACCGGCUAACUACGUG
rnacentral:rRNA from 1 species